UAGUAUAGCCAGUUUUAUAGAACCAACAGGACACAUAUAGUAAGAACAGUUUUAGUUUCUUUCAAGAAUUAUUCAAGUUAAAAAUUAAAAAAAAAAAAAAUUAAAUGGAACACGUGAGAACUACAUUUGAGGGAAAUUACAAAAUUUUUAAAGAAUGGGAUGAGGUCGUCAAUUCCGCAAAACAGGCGAUACAGACUCUCGACAGACAGGACCUGCUCCCACAUUUCGAGAAGGUUAUGAAGACCAUGGAGAGGAUGGAGAUUACGGUUGAAUGGAAGAGGAAUGGACGAAUAGUAUAUUACAAGGAUUUGAGCUUUCGGGGACUUGACAUCCUGUCGUGCAUUGCCCGGAAGUUCGAAGGGUAUGGUGAGCCCUUGUUGCCGCUGGCCACAAAGGCCCAUAAAUACUGCAUCGAGCAAUUGAAUAAGGACAUUAGGGAUCGUCGACAUCGGAGUUCCAUUUAUGAUCUCCUUUCCGCCCUCCUUCCUAUUGUAGGCGAGGACAUGGUCACCUCAUUCCCAGUUAUAAUGGGACACGUUUGCAGGGAUACGAUUUGUGAGAAAAGGUUCAAUGAGCAGCAUAGCCAUCUAAAGGUGUCGGUGCUCCUCGUCCUCAAGGACUAUGUGGAAUUCAUGCCCAAACAAUUCAAGCCAUUCAUAGAGGAUACUCUGAAAUACGCUACUCGUCUGAUUAACUAUCAGGGGGAACUGGUACGAAUCGCCUCUGUGGACUGUAUCAGCAUGGUUUUGAAUGCCUUCCAGGGACUGGGUUUCGGCGGCAAAUUGCCGGAGACCUGCGAGGUCCUCAUACCGGUGCUCUCGCAGGUCAUUUGCGCCGAUGAUGCGCCGUGUGUCGUUGUGAAAGUGAUCACCUGCCUGGGUGAUGUGUUCAACAGACUAAAACGAAACGCCGUUCCCAACCAGGAGGUGGCCGACAUUGUCUUCAAAAGCAUAGACUGGGUUUUCAACGAUAGGACCAGGUGCCAGGUGGCUAUGGCGCGCUAUCCAGAAUCAGAGGAGGACUAUUACGAGGAGUCCUUUGGACGCAUGUACUUUGAAGCUGCGGCCAUGUUCGCCAACUUUGGUCACGGUCUCGAGCAGGAGAUAUUUUUGAAGUACUUCAAGCGGAUCCAUCCCCAUCUGGGCAGAUUGCAGACGAUGAUUGAAGCGCAAAGUGACGAGACCUUCUACUCCUCAGUGAGCACAAUGGUCAUUCUGCUGGAGACCAAGGUGACGUCCUUUUUCGACUUCCUGUAUCCAAUCCUACUCGCCGGAUUCCGUCAUACGAGUGCGGACCAGAGGAAGAUCGCAAUCUAUGCCAUGGGCGUGCUCAUUCUCAACACUGACAACGAGAAGGCGGUUAAGGCCUUUCCGGCCAUCCACUUGGCCCUCUGCGAUCGUUACGACAGCGAGACAAAUGCUGCCAUCCAGGAUACUGUCCUCGGAGCCCUGGGCAGGAUGAUCCUGAGCAAUGCCGAGGGGGUGCCUUUAGACAGUAUGCUGUUAGACUUUAUGAGUCGCCUGCCGCUCACGGAGGUUUUCGAAGAGAAUGUUACCAUGUUGAAGGUUUUCCGUCUGCUCUACCAUGAAAAACGUCAAAAGAUCGACUAUUUUGUUGAACGUAUCCUGGAACUCACUCUUCUGAUGGUGGCCAAAAACGAGAUCUCUGAUCCAAAGUGGCGUAAAGACGCAAUAGAUUUUGCCUACAAGAUCAAACUGAAUUAUCCACGUAUUUUCGACAAAAUGAUCAAAACUCAUAAAGAAAUUGAGUCUUUAAUCCACUCAAUGUGCUACGUGAUAUGGUAAAGCCAGGACUUGCAUAAAACUAAUCAAGAUUUACUCGCACAGUUUUACAACCAUUAAAUUUUAGGAUUGUUCUUAAUGAAGGGGAUUUCUUUCGGAUUAUAUAUUACAAAGUGACAUUGUUUUCCAAACCUAAAUUUGUUAUUCUUUUCCAACUUUUUCGAUAAUUUUGUACAAGUGCCAUUUAAAUAAAAUUUCGGUGAUAUUUGUAGUACUUAGUAUCACCUAGUAAUACAACUUAA
rnacentral:misc_RNA from 1 species